GUUCAGUGAGUGGUCUUGGGCCAGGCACUCUCUCUCUCAGCCUACCUCACAGAGUUGUUGUGAGGAUUUGUUGUGAGAAUAAAAUGAGGACGGGGAGAAUCUCGUACACCACCUGGAACUCCUUGGAGGAAAGUGUAUAACCCUUAUGGUGGCAAAGGUGUGCCUGGAAAAUGCUGAAACCAUCUUAGAAGCCAGAGGGGUGAUCAGGUGGAGCGUACAAUACAGCGGAAGAAGAUGCAAAACUGCCCCUUCCUAAUCUUCUCUAAGUCCCUGUUUUUUUGAAAGCAGUUGGGAAAACAAGGCGGAGAGAUGCCUGUGUUGCAAAUGGUUUCCUUUUUACUCCUAGUGUAAAUAAAGCAAAUUUAUCGGUUUGA